CAGUCGAGCGGACUUGAUGGAGUGCUUGCACUCCUGAUGGUUAGCGGCNGACGGGUGAGUAACACGUAGGCAACCUGCCCUCAAGACUGGGAUAACUACCGGAAACGGUAGCUAAUACCGGAUAAUUUAUUUCACAGCAUUGUGGAAUAAUGAAAGACGGAGCAAUCUGUCACUUGGGGAUGGGCCUGCGGCGCAUUAGCUAGUUGGUGGGGUAAUGGCUCACCAAGGCGACGAUGCGUAGCCGACCUGAGAGGGUGAACGGCCACACUGGGACUGAGACACGGCCCAGACUCCUACGGGAGGCAGCAGUAGGGAAUCUUCCGCAAUGGGCGAAAGCCUGACGGAGCAACGCCGCGUGAGUGAUGAAGGUUUUCGGAUCGUAAAGCUCUGUUGCCAAGGAAGAACGUCUUCUAGAGUAACUGCUAGGAGAGUGACGGUACUUGAGAAGAAAGCCCCGGCUAACUACGUGCCAGCAGCCGCGGUAAUACGUAGGGGGCAAGCGUUGUCCGGAAUUAUUGGGCGUAAAGCGCGCGCAGGCGGUUCUUUAAGUCUGGUGUUUAAACCCGAGGCUCAACUUCGGGUCGCACUGGAAACUGGGG
rnacentral:rRNA from 1 species